CUUGCGGCCAUAUCACUUUGAAGCAUUGGAUCCCGCCUGAUCACCAAAGUUAAGCAGCGCCGAGCCUGGUCAGUAACUAGAAGGGUGGCCGCUUGGGAUUACCAGGUACAGUA